rnacentral:tRNA from 1 species
GCCCUCAUGGCCCAAUAGGUAGAGGCAAGCGGCUUAAACCCGCUACGGUGCCGGUUCGAGUCCGGCUGGGGGCA